UAUACGGGUGAAAACUAAUAUCAGAUUGAACGAGGAGUGGACGGAGACUUUUGAGACUCGGUCUAUUUGUCUUCGGUCAACUCUACAAGUAGGCUGAUUUGGAGCGACAAUCUUAGUAAAAGUCCUAAAAGAACAGUAAUGUAUUGUAUACGGUAAGACUUAAUGUCAGACUUUAGUAGAUGAGGAUUCCAAUAAAAGAGAUAUGGGCGUUUGAAUUUGGGUUAUUUUCUGUUGUCUAGAUGUCGGAGUAACAACUUCAGAUAACUGUGAAAAUGGUUAUAUUUGCGGAGAGUCUCAGUCAAAUUCCAUUGUGCUGGUAGGGGAGUGGUGAGCGCGGCAGUCUCACCUACGGUAAUCCACGGUUCGGUUCCCGUUUAACUAAAAUUGAUUUUAGAUCGUAAUUGACCUAUUUGCAUGUUUUGCCUGAAAAAUACGGUCGCCAGUGUUUGCAAAAGAUAUAACGGAACGGAUAUUAUGUGUUCUAGAUAGAAUUGAUAAAAUAAGUCAUUAAAAAUAAUGGCGAGGCAAUGUCGAUGUAAAACGCUAUUUCGCCCAAAAUGAUCUGGUGGAAUAAUGUAUUGAGAUGAGAGUCGUAAUUAAAUAGAUGUAUCAUAGAAGAGAGUUACCUAAAGUUAAAUGGAGGGGAUACCGGAGAGAUACAAUACAAUUCCAGCCUGCCUGGACGUUACGGCUAAUUAUGAAUCAAUUGACAUGAGAAGUUUAACACAAAAACAUGGUACGUUUAAUGUUAGGGUAUAGUAAAUUGAGAAAUUCGGUUGAGUUUACUCUGAUGAUUAGAAUUUAAAACUGAACUCAAUCGGAAUAGGGAAUAUAUAUUUUACAAAGGCGGGCAGAUUUGUGCCUACAGCCAAGCAAAGGAAUUGCUAGACACUCAAUGGGGCUAUAUAGUGCAACGCUUUGGACUAUAAAUUAGGUAAGAAUAGUUUAAUCGUAAGAAGUUGUGAUUGUUUUUCUGAUUAUUGAUCUUUGGUUAAGGUAACACCAGUGAAUUUGAACAAAAAGUAACCUAUUCUAAAAAUGAUCUGAUUUCCGUUCUCGUUGCGGGGAACAAAUGAAAAUUCUUAUCUUAAAGGGAUAGUGCACGGUAAUCACAGUGGUUUGAGUGUAUGACAGUGGGAAAAAAUAUUGUGGGACGACAAUUCAAAGAGAGAAAAAUAAGUUACAUGAAACAUCAAGAGAUUUAAAACGAACGACGUGAAGGGAUCAUAAGAAUUAUUGGGUGUCGUAGGAGUAAAUGUUUGGGUUAAGGGGAUUUCCCUGUUCCCAGAGACAAGGCAUUUUUAAGGCGAGCACUCGCCAAUGCUGGUCUGAGUUGUAAAUUAGACAAGUGAAUAACGUAUUGGGAAUAGAGUUGUAAUUAAAAUACUAAGUCAAAGACGAGACAGGUAUUUAGAGCAAAAUGGUUUCUAAAUGAUAACAAAGAGACAAUUAUGAUUUAUGCCCAUCGAAAAGCUUUUAUAAAAUUGGCGAAUUUAGAGAUGUUGGUUGGGGUGGUAAAUUAUAAUUCAGGAUUUGAACAGAUGUGAAAAAUUAGGUUUGGUUAAUCGAACAAGAAUUAUUUACAAUUCAUUUGAAGUCGCUACGAAUUGGCAGAUUGAGCGCUUGAUGAUGACGUCACUAGCGCGACACUUUUGUCACCAGAAGACUGGGAAUAACGGAGCAAACUGUAUGGCUAUUAGUGUGUGUAUCGAGGCUUCGAGUAAACCUUUCAGAAGUUGAGAUAAAAGUGUUUUGUUUAUUUGUUUAUUGGUUAUAGUCAAUUUUAGGGUUUGAUUUAACUUAGUUGAACAGUGUGUUCUGGCGGGUUUAGGUAGAACUCUUUGUUCCGGAAUGGAUGAAAGUUACCCAUAAUUUUAUGCCCAGCAGGAGAACUACAGAGGGAGGUGGCACACGAGAUUCAACCAGGAGACUGGAUCUGGAUCCAAUCACUAAAAAGAAAAAAAAACUGGAAGCAGCCUCGGUGGGAGGGACCAUUCCAAGUACUACUGGUGACUGCCUUCGCUGUGAGAUUAGCCGAAAGAGCUACCUGGGUACAUAUCACACAUUGUAAGGGGUUAAGUCACACUAGCACUGUCGGACGAUCACAGGAGUAGGAGAGGAACCGUGACCCAUAUGGAACGGGGGUCAAACUCCUUCUGAAGAUUCCCUAUACCCGACCUUUCCCCAGCUGUGAGCGUUCAUAGAAGUGAAGUGAUGGCUUGGCCUCUGGCUGUUGAUAUGUUCUCGGGGAGAGGGUGGGGCUUCACGUGCGCACUGACCGUCCUGAGCUGUUUUAUUGUGGGGGCCAUAUUCCUGAUUCACCAUGAUCCCCCGGAAAGUGCCAAAGAGGAUAAUUUGACUCAUGUGCUAGAUGAGGGAAAUGGGAUGUUACCUAAGAUUCUCAGAAGGUCACUGAAACAAAAUAGUAAGGAAGUGAGGGUGGAAUUGGGCAAGGAUCUCUCAGUAGAAUUUUGUGUAGAUCAAUUGGGGUCAUUCACCCCUUGGCAGUCUAGAACCAUGGGACUCUAUGGGAAGUAUUUGUGUAAAUCACCAUAUUGAUCGUGGACAGGUCAUAGCUCACACUGAAAGGGAUGGCUACGUAAACCCAUACACCCAAUUUGGGACCAGGUGGAGUAUAGUAAGGGUUGGCGUUUUGGACUGUGUUCCUGAACAGAGGAAGUAUUGUAUAAAGGUACGAAUAGUUCAGACCAAAGACCUCAAAGAAGUUAUAGAAGUGGAGACUGGGUUUGGGGAGUCCAACUUAUGGUUGGAAUGGAUUCAAUACGGCCAGAUCAGUGGCUAAAGAAGAAUGUUAUGUCUGUGCGAACGCUAAACCCCAGUUAACAACUAUCCCUUUUCCACUGAACGGAAUUAAUUCCCUAAGGGAAUGGCAUGUAUGGUAAAGCUGUUCAUGAAAGCAGGAAUGCCAGAUAAUGACAGUUGUCACUAUUUAUAUCCCCAGGAACCAAGUUGGUACAGAGAAAAUGACCACUGACGAGACCAUGUCUGAAUUGACAGGCUGGUUGAACUCUGGGGAUUUCAAUGAAAUAAAAUGGGCCAGUGUCGCCAUCUGGUGGUUGUGCGGGGAAUGAGUUUGACUGAUUGGACGGGUUAGGAAUGCCUUUUACACUCAUACAACACCAAGACAUGAAGUUAGCCAAAACGAGAGAGAAGAGAUGCUCCAUCUGGGUCUUUUGACGACAGAGUAUAUAUUGAUAACAUUGGGGUUCCACGAGGUGUGUAAUUAUAGUUAUGGUAAUCAACAGUGCUUUAGCAGGAAUACCAAAGGUGUUAUUAAAGGUUUUGUAGAACAGACUGAAGCAACCAGCUGGAAGACCUGACAGAAUAGAAUUGCAUAGGAUAAAAGGAGGAAGUGGGCGUGGUAAUCAGGACCAUGUCUUACAUCCCAGGUAGCUCAGCUCCGGACGAAUCAGUGCCCGAAGCCUCAGCUGGUUUGACCACCCUGGCUCACGGGUUGGCAGAAACUCUGGGGUGGAUACUUCUCUGAACUAAAUUGGGUAGACAGUAUUUAUGGAAAAAUGUGGUGUUUUGGGCUGUAUCUACCUGUAUGACUGUUUUAAUUUUAUGCUGCUGUUGUCUAAUUCCCUGUGUGCGAGGCCUUGUUUCCAGGACUCUGGAAAAAUCAAUGACCCUACAGAUGGUGCGUUAUGGGCCGAUUCCAGAUUCUGACCUGUGGAGGACUGAAGGCAUGUCUACAGAGGAAGUGGACGAAUCCGGAUCUGUCAUUUGUGGGGAAUUUAUGUUUGAUGAGGCUAGUGUUGAGAUAAAGGGGAAUUAGAUUGUAAUUGGUUUCCAUGAUUAAACUGUUUUUUUAAUGAAGGUCGUGACGAAAAUCCGGAAGGAAGAGUUAUGAUUCUGAUGUAGGUUUAAAAACAGUUGGAGUUAAGGUUAGAAUUGAUUAAUGAAAUGUGAAGAGUUGGAUAAACAUUUAUAAUUGAUUUGUUGAAUUAUUUGUCUAUUCAUAUGAUAAUCUGAUAAACCUCUAUAAAAAGGUUAGUUAAGUUCGUUUAUACUUUCAUUUUUUAUGAUUAAAUAAAACUAGAUGUAGAAUUGAAUGUAUAAUAUUUGAUCAAAGGGAGGAUUGUUAGAGGAAAAUAUAGUUUAGAUGAUCAAUUAUGUAUACAUUAAUGAUUAGAACCAUUUAUGCUAAUACUAUUAUGUUAUGAUUUGAAAAGUAUGGGUUCUUAAUUGUACUGUUACUGAAAAUGUAAGCAGAAAUGAAUUGUGUCUGUGUCUCCUGGGAAAGUUUAAGAAGGAGGGAUAAGAUAGUUUUUCAAACAGAUAAGAAUGUUUUGGUUGGAUUCCAUUAGGGGAGAGAAGUUAUCCUUUAGACAGGUUGGAAUGUAGUUUAUGAGGGGAGUGAAACUAUCUCCAGGACCGAAUACUACGCCAUUGUAAGGCUGGGAGAGGGUGUGAAACUGAUGAUGUCAUUUUAUGUCUUCUUUCUUUAAAAUGUAAUGUUCUUUGUAUUUUGGGUCAGUACUCUCUGGAAUUAAACGCUCUUUACCUGGCUUUUAAGACUG